ACGGAAGGCAGCAGUGGGGAAUAUUGGUCAAUGGGCGGAAGCCUGAACCAGCCAUGCCGCGUGAAGGAAUAAGGCCCUAUGGGUCGUAAACUUCUUUUGAGCGGGAGCAAUAAGGCGUACGUGUACGCUGAUGAGAGUACCGUUCGAAUAAGCAUCGGCUAACUCCGUGCCAGCAGCCGCGGUAAUACGGAAGGUCCGGGCGUUAUCCGGAUUUAUUGGGUUUAAAGGGAGCGUAGGCCGUGCUUUAAGCGUGUUGUGAAAUGUAGGCGCCCAACGUCUGCACUGCAGCGCGAACUGGAGCACUUGAGUACGCAGGAAGUAGGCGGAAUUCGUCGUGUAGCGGUGAAAUGCUUAGAUAUGACGAAGAACUCCGAUUGGGAAGCCAGCUUACUGUAGCGCCACUGACGCUGAUGCUCGAAAGCGUGGGUAUCGAACAGGAUUAGAUACCCUGGUA
rnacentral:rRNA from 1 species